GAACGAGACCUUCGGGUCUAGUGGCGCACGGGUGCGUAACGCGUGGGAAUCUGCCCUUGGGUACGGAACAACAGUUAGAAAUGACUGCUAAUACCGUAUAAUGACUCCGGUCCAAAGAUUUAUCGCCCAGGGAUGAGCCCGCGUCGGAUUAGCUAGUUGGUGAGGUAAAAGCUCACCAAGGCGACGAUCCGUAGCUGGUCUGAGAGGAUGAUCAGCCACACUGGGACUGAGACACGGCCCAGACUCCUACGGGAGGCAGCAGUGGGGAAUAUUGGACAAUGGGCGCAAGCCUGAUCCAGCAAUGCCGCGUGAGUGAUGAAGGCCUUAGGGUUGUAAAGCUCUUUUACCCGGGAUGAUAAUGAC
rnacentral:rRNA from 1 species